AUUGAACGCUGGCGGCAGGCUUAACACAUGCAAGUCGAGCGGGGUGAUGGUGCUUGCACUAUCACCUAGCGGCGGACGGGUGAGUAAUGCUUAGGAAUCUGCCUAUUAGUGGGGGACAACAUUUCGAAAGGAAUGCUAAUACCGCAUACGUCCUACGGGAGAAAGCAGGGGAUCUUCGGACCUUGCGCUAAUAGAUGAGCCUAAGUCGGAUUAGCUAGUUGGUGGGGUAAAGGCCUACCAAGGCGACGAUCUGUAGCGGGUCUGAGAGGAUGAUCCGCCACACUGGGACUGAGACACGGCCCAGACUCCUACGGGAGGCAGCAGUGGGGAAUAUUGGACAAUGGGCGCAAGCCUGAUCCAGCCAUGCCGCGUGUGUGAAGAAGGCCUUAUGGUUGUAAAGCACUUUAAGCGAGGAGGAGGCUACUUUAGAUAAUACCUAGAGAUAGCGGACGUUACUCGCAGAAUAAGCACCGGCUAACUCUGUGCCAGCAGCCGCCGUAAUAC
rnacentral:rRNA from 1 species